CCUACGGGUGGCUGCAGUGGGGGAUAUUGCACAAUGGGGGAAACCCUGAUGCAGCGACGCCGCGUGAGUGAAGAAGUAUUUCGGUGUGUAAAGCUCUGUCAGCAGGGAAGAAAAUGACGGUACCUGAUUAAGAAGCCCCGGCUAACUACGUGCCAGCAGCCGCGGUAAUACGUAGGGGGCAAGCGUUAUCCGGAUUUACUGGGUGUAAAGGGGGCGUAGACGGCGGCGCAAGUCAGAAGUGAAAUGCCGGGGCUUAACCCCGGAACUGCUUUGGAAACUGCGUAGCUAGAGUGCAGGAGAGGUAGGUGGAAUUCCUGGUGUAGCGGUGAAAUGCGUAGAUAUUAGGAGGAACACCAGUGGCGAAGGCGGCCUACUGGACUGUAACUGACGUUGAGGCUCGAAAGCGUGGGGAGCAAACAGGAUUAGAUACCCUUGUAGUC
rnacentral:rRNA from 1 species